rnacentral:rRNA from 1 species
CCCUUAGAUGUUCGGGGCCGCACGCGCGCUACACUGAAGGAAUCAGCACGUCUUUCUCCUUGUCCGAAAGGACUGGGUAACCCGCUGAACCUCCUUCGUGCUAGGGAUUGGGGCUUGUAAUUCUUCCCCAUGAACGAGGAAUUCCCAGUAAGCGCGAGUCAUAAGCUCGCGUUGAUUACGUCCCUGCCCUUUGUACACACCGCCCGUCGCUACUACCGAUUGGAUGGUUUAGUGAGAUCCUCGGAUUGGUCCCGGAGCGGCCUCUGGUCGUGCCGGAGUGCCGAAAAGAAUGUCGAACUUGAUCAUCUAGAGGAAGUAAAGGUCGUAACA